rnacentral:rRNA from 1 species
UACAGAGGGUGCAAGCGUUGUUCGGAAUUAUUGGGCGUAAAGCGCGUGUAGGCGGCUUGGCAAGUCGGGUGUGAAAUCCCUCAGCUUAACUGAGGAAGUGCGCCCGAAACUGCUUUGCUUGAGUGUCGGAGAGGAUGGCGGAAUUCCCCAAGUAGAGGUGAAAUUCGUAGAUAUGGGGAGGAACACCGGUGGCGAAGGCGGCCAUCUGGACGACAACUGACGCUGAGACGCGAAAGCCAGGGGAGCAAACGGG